GAACGCUGACUGUACUCUGCUUGCUAAGUGUGGAUGAGUGGCGAACGGGUGAGUAACACGUGGGGAACCUGCCCAUAAGAGGGGGAUAACAUCCGGAAACGGGUGCUAAUACCGCAUAGGUGAUCAUAGCGCAUGCUUAGAUCAUUAAAGAUGGCUUCGGCUAUCGCUUAUGGAUGGCCCCGCGGCGUAUUAGCUAGUUGGUGAGGUAAUGGCUCACCAAGGCUGUGAUACGUAGCCGACCUGAGAGGGUGAUCGGCCACACUGGAACUGAGACACGGUCCAGACUCCUACGGGAGGCAGCAGUAGGGAAUCUUCCACAAUGGGCGAAAGCCUGAUGGAGCAAUACCGCGUGAGUGAAGAAGGUCUUCGGAUCGUAAAGCUCUGUUGUUAGAGAAGAACAAGAGGUGUAGUAACUGGCACCUCCUUGACGGUAUCUAACCAGAAAGUCACGGCUAACUACGUGCCAGCAGCCGCGGUAAUACGUAGGUGACAAGCGUUGUCCGGAUUUAUUGGGCGUAAAGCGAGCGCAGGCGGUCUUUUAAGUCUGAUGUGAAAGCCCACGGCUCAACCGUGGAGGGUCAUUGGAAACUGGAAGACUUGAAUGCAGAAGAGGAAAGUGGAAUUCCAUGUGUAGCGGUGAAAUGCGUAGAUAUAUGGAGGAACACCAGUGGCGAAGGCGACUUUCUGGUCUGUAAUUGACGCUGAGGCUCGAAAGCGUGGGGAGCGAACAGGAUUAGAUACCCUGGUAGUCCACGCCGUAAACGAUGAGUGCUAAGUGUUGGAGGGUUUCCGCCCUUCAGUGCUGGAGCUAACGCAUUAAAGCACUCCGCCUGGGGAGUACGGCCGCAAGGCUGAAACUCAAAGGAAUUGACGGGGACCCGCACAAGCGGUGGAGCAUGUGGUUUAAUUCGAAGCAACGCGAAGAACCUUACCAGAUCUUGACAUCCUCUGACCACUCAAGAGAUUGGGCUUUCCCUUCGGGG
rnacentral:rRNA from 1 species